GACGAACGCUGGCGGCGUGCUUAACACAUGCAAGUCGAACGGAAAGGCCCUGCUUUUGUGGGGUGCUCGAGUGGCGAACGGGUGAGUAACACGUGAGUAACCUGCCCUUGACUUUGGGAUAACUUCAGGAAACUGGGGCUAAUACCGGAUAGGAGCUCCUGCUGCAUGGUGGGGGUUGGAAAGUUUCGGCGGUUGGGGAUGGACUCGCGGCUUAUCAGCUUGUUGGUGGGGUAGUGGCUUACCAAGGCUUUGACGGGUAGCCGGCCUGAGAGGGUGACCGGCCACAUUGGGACUGAGAUACGGCCCAGACUCCUACGGGAGGCAGCAGUGGGGAAUAUUGCACAAUGGGCGGAAGCCUGAUGCAGCAACGCCGCGUGCGGGAUGACGGCCUUCGGGUUGUAACCCGCUUUCGCCUGUGACGAAGCGUGAGUGACGGUAAUGGGUAAAGAAGCACCGGCUAACUACAUG
rnacentral:rRNA from 1 species